UCGGUGUAGACGUAAAUAUUUUCGAUAGAGAUUUGAGAACAAUGGGAAAAGUUUCAAUAAAAAUAUUAAAAGGAGUAAAAAUGAUUUAUUAGAGCGCUCAAGCGCGCCCGACAGCUAGCUUCUCAGAUGAGGAAUCGAUGACGGACUCGGACUCAAUUUGGUGGCACCCACUUCUGCAGUUUAGGGUGAAUCGCUAAUGAGGGCGCGCAAAAUAUGCUAAGCAACCAAUCAUCAGCUAAUAAAGAUCUUCUCAUCCGCUUUGGAGAGGCCUUUCCCUGGAGGUUGGAAUUUUAUCAGGGAGGCUUUUCACAGACGAGGGGACCCAGCAAUAGGACUUCAGGCUAUAAGGUAUUCAAUCGGUACAUCUACUUUAAAACAGUAUACUACCUACUUAAGAACACAAUGGGAUUUUUGCGACAGAAGGAAUAUCACCGUUUCCAAUAUUCAUUAAAUCUAGUUUUGGUCUUUUUAGGCAGAAAAUUUCUUAUUCGACGAUUAAAUAAAACCUUUUAA